rnacentral:lncRNA from 1 species
AGGAAGAAGAACAUGAGUUUCAGCGGCUUAUACAGAAGAACAACUCCAAGAGCUGGAUGCAGCACGAGAUGUCUCCAAGUGGUGGUGAGACAUCAUCAAAUCCUAAGAAACAAUAUACUUGAAGAUUUUUCACUCACUGCAUCAAAGACAAGAAUGAGGCAGAUGAAAACCAUACGCAAAAACACAACAAAUAGAAAAGAGAUUCCAC